AAUAAACGCUGGCGGCGUGCCUAACACAUGCAAGUCGAGCGAGAAAGCUCUUUCGGGAGUAAGUACAGCGGCGGACGGGUGAGUAACGCGUGAGAAUUUACCCUUUAGUGAAGAAUACCUCAGAGAAAUCUGAGCUAAUACUGCAUACGUCCCUCCGGGGAGAAAGGUGGCCUCUUUGCUGCCGCUAAAGGAUAAGCUUGCGUACUAUCAGCUAGUUGGUGAGGUAAUGGCUCACCAAGGCUAUGACGGUUAGCCGACCUGAGAGGGUGUACGGCCACAUUGGAACUUAGACACGGUCCAGACUCCUACGGGAGGCAG
rnacentral:rRNA from 1 species